UACGAAGGGGGCUAGCGUUGCUCGGAAUCACUGGGCGUAAAGCGCACGUAGGCGGAUUGUUAAGUCAGGGGUGAAAUCCUGGAGCUCAACUCCAGAACUGCCUUUGAUACUGGCGAUCUCGAGUCCGGGGGAGGUGAGUGGAACUGCGAGUGUAGAGGUGAAUUCGUAGAUAUUCGCAAGAACACCAGUGGCGAAGGCGGCUCACUGGCCCGGUACUGACGCUGAGGUGCGAAAGCGUGGGAGCA
rnacentral:rRNA from 1 species